rnacentral:rRNA from 1 species
AGAGUUUGAUCCUGGCUCAGGAUGAACGCUGGCGGCGUGCUUCAUACAUGCAAGUCGAACGAGAAUUGGAGCUGCUCAAAGGAAAGUGGCGGACGGGUGAGUAAUACAUAGGGAAUCUGCCCUUAGCUGGGGGACAACAGUUGGAAACGACUGCUAAUACCGCAUAUGAGCUAACCUGAAAUGGUUAUCUUGAAAACUCCGGUGGCUAAGGAUGAGCCUGUGCCUGAUUAGCUUGUUGGCGGGGUAAUGGCCCACCAAGGCGACGAUCAGUAGCUGGUUUGAGAGGAUGAUCAGCCACAAUGGGACUGAGACACGGCCCAUACUCCUACGGGAGGCAGCAGUAGGGAAUUUUGCGCAAUGGGCGAAAGCCUGACGCAAGCAACGCCGCGUGUGUGAUGAAGCCCCUAGGGGUGUAAAACACUGUCAGUAGGGACGAAUUUUGACGGUACCUACAGAGGAAGCACCGGCUAACUCCGUGCCAGCAGCAGC